UACGUAGGGGGCAAGCGUUGUCCGGAAUCAUUGGGCGUAAAGAGCGUGUAGGCGGCCCGAUAAGUCCGCCGUGAAAGUCCAGGGCUCAACCCUCGAAUGCCGGUGGAUACUGUCGGGCUAGAGUCCGGAAGAGGAGAGUGGAAUUCCUGGUGUAGCGGUGAAAUGCGCAGAUAUCAGGAGGAACACCAAUGGCGAAGGCAGCACUCUGGGACGUGACUGACGCUGAGACGCGAAAGCGUGGGGAGCAAACAGG
rnacentral:rRNA from 1 species